UCUGGCUGAACUUCAGAUAAGAGACCGUGCUGCUGGCUGUCCCUGAAAUUGAAUCUGGAGAGGCUCGGGCUAUGAGGACAUCAUGAACCACAGAUGGUGGAGGUAACACACAGAUGGAGAAAUAAUGGCAUGCUCAUAUGCUCAUGAUAAUGACCCAAUAGGAACAGAAAAACUGCUGAUGUAAGAGAAGGAAGAGAAUUGCUGGAGCGAAACCUUUGGG